rnacentral:lncRNA from 1 species
GAAUCAGGUAUGACUUGAGUUUGUUCUAGGAUUGGUCGGUCAAUAACCUUACCACUUCGCAAAGUUAUUAUACUCUUCGCUUGUUCUUUAUGCAAAGUUGAAGAUGAUGCAUUGCUAUCGCCAUAGACUUGAGGGUUAGGUUGUGGUUGAGCUGGUAGCUUACCUUUCUCUUGAGCACUUAAAGCAGUGGUCAGCGUUGUCAAUUGAUUUCUUAAUUCAUCAUUGAUUUUAGCCUGACCUUGCAUGAAAGAUUGCAAAGUUUCUUCGAGACUGGGUUUUUGAGGGGGUGCAUGUGCAUAAUGAGGUUGCGGAGGUGGAGGAGUUGGGUUAUAUACUUGUUGAGGUUGGUCAUUCCUCCACCU